CGUGGCGGUGCGGCUUUGGACAGUCUCCAUGGCCUCGAACUACGGUCCCGUACUCGAACAACCUCUCCGGUCUCCUUAGGACACUGUGAUAUUUAAGUUUAUUUUCGUUUCCCUGUUACCGUGGGCAGUACUAACUGUGUUAUAAUUACGUUAACUUGAGUUGUGACCCUUGAAACGCACAAUGAUCGCUCAGUGGUCUGCGCCAAAUGUGCGAUUUCGCGCAGACCACUGAGCGAUCAUUCAGGUGAUCCAGCGAUGCAUCAGCGGAAUAUUACGCGCUGGAGGGCAGCGAAGAGUGUGCUCGGAUUCAGGCACAAAGCUCGAAGGCCAGCCGUCGGGUGAUGCAGAGCCAGCUGAUCAUCACGGAGCGACAGCGGGGGAAGAAAGAAAAGGGAGCAAGCGAUGCUGGAUGAUGUGCGUCAACUGCACAGAAAGGCCAUCAGUGCACGAGCUGAUUGGACACUGUGUGCAAAUGUUACAAAGUGCAUCAGCGGACAAUGACAAUCAGAGGCCUCUGACCUAAAGCUGCAGAGGAGCAGCAAUAGGAUGGUCAUGAUACACAAACAGCUGUCCUUGUCGCAGCACUGUUCCUUUGGCAAUCAUCUUCAUGUUCCUCUGCCAUACUGGACGGCACCAAUCUGUGGGUAGUAAAUCUGCAACUGCCCAGACUCAGCUGCUAGCAUCAACCAAAUCACCACUGGAAUUUGCUGCUACCACUACAGGCGUUUUAAACACCACACCAAUGCCUGCUCUUCAAUAGGAGUAGCAGCGCCUCAGCAGUCGCAUCAAAGCCUGAAAUCCCUGUUUGCACAGAAGUGAACCUGCAGGAAGCAAGGCAAGGUAAACCAUCAGACACCAACCUUCUGGACACUGAGGAUCAAGGGUGACCACAUCAGCUCUUUUCCGGCCACCUCAUUCCAAGUCUCUUCAUGCAGUGUGCCAGAGGGGAAGGAAAACAAAUAAAAUUUCUGGUCUGAACAAAAAUGUAGUCAAUGUUAUUUAUUA
rnacentral:lncRNA from 1 species